rnacentral:rRNA from 1 species
ACUCAAAUGAAUAGACGGGGGCCCGCACAAGCAGCGGAGCAUGUGGUUUAAUUCGAAGCAACGCGAAGAACCUUACCAAGGCUUGACAUCCCACUAAACUCAUGGAAACAUGAGGUGGUUUCGGCCAAGUGGAGACAGGUGGUGCAUGGUUGUCGUCAGCUCGUGUCGUGAGAUGUUGGGUUAAGUCCCGCAACGAGCGCAACCCCUAUUACCAGUUACCAGCGCGUAGCGGCGGGGACUCUGGUGAGACUGCCGGGGACAACUCGGAGGAAGGUGGGGACGACGUCAAAUCAUCAUGCCCCUUAUGUCUUGGGCUACACACGUGCUACAAUGGCUAUAACAAAGGGAAGCGACAGGGUAACCUGAAGCGGAUCUCAGAAAAAUAGUCCCAGUUCGGAUUGUGGGCUGCAACCCGCCCACAUGAAGUCGGAGUUGCUAGUAAUCGCGGAUCAGAAUGCCGCGGUGAAUACGUUCCCGGGCCUUGUACACACCGCCCGU